rnacentral:lncRNA from 1 species
UUUUUAUUUAGGCCCUUUAAAAUUUAUAAAAUUUUAAAUUAGUAAAAGUAAAAUUACACUUUGGCUGCCCUAAAAAUGAUAAAAAUUUGAUUUAGUCCUGUAAAAAUUAUAAAGAUAUAGGCUAUUAAAAUGGUAAAAUUACAUUUUUAUUAUCGUAAAAAUUAUAUUAAUUUUGCCCCCAAUAAAAUUUUUUUUUGGCUUCGCCCCUAACCAUAACCAUUCUAUCCCACCACAUCUACUUUUCAAAAAAAAAAAAAAAACAUUCAUUCCAUAGGAAGCGAACCGAUUUAAAAACCGGGAGAUAAUUUAAGUUUGAUCAUCCUUAGCAUGACCUUAAACUCAA